rnacentral:lncRNA from 1 species
GUUUUUUUGCCAGCUUGCUAGUUUUUAAAUGACAUCUCAUAUUGUGAUUUUACAUUUUUUUAGUUGUAUAAAAACUAUCCUGACUUGAUGCCAUUAUAUAUUUAAUCGUAACCAAGUGUUAUUCCAUGUAAAUUAUCAACUGGUUAAUAAUUGGAUUUCCCAGUUAAAGGCAGAUCAGUGCAAAUGUCUGGUCUCCUUUGAAUUAACAGUUCUCACUGUAAAUUCAUAGCUGUCAUUGUGGUUUUUAUGUAUUGAUUUUAUGUAUUAUAAUAGUUAAUAUCCACACAUGUUUCUGAGCCUCCAAGUCCAACUUGCUGAACUUUGUCAUAAAUUCAUUAAUGUAAAAGUUUGGUAGUUCUUUAGCACUCCUGCCAUCAGGAGAUGGAGUAUAUUAUGUUCUCUUGAAUUUAAAAGAGGCCCAGUUACUGUUUUGACUAGUAGAGUAACAUAAAAGUAAUGAUAUUGAUUUAUGAUACUAGGUCAUAAAAAGCUAUGUAUCUUAUGUCUUAUUGAUGGGAACACUCACUUUUGAAGCCCAAGCCACCAUAUAAUAAAUGUGGCUACCCCAAGCCAUCAUGUUGGAGAUAUUAUGUGUAGACAUUACAGUUGACAAUCCUCACUGAGCUCUUGGCCAUCCGCUAGUAUCAACUGCCAGUUUAGCAACACAAUCAAAUUAAUAUCUUGAAAAAAUACUUACAUGUUAAUCAUUGUUUACUCACUGUUUUUUUAAUGAAAAAUGUAUAAUGGGAGUAAGUCAUCUUGGACAUCAUGCCCAGUUGAGGCUCCAGAUACUCUAUCCCAACUACUAUCUGACUGUAACUUCCUGAGACCUGCAUGUGAGAAUCACCUAGUUGAGCCCAGUCAACCUACAGGGUUAUGAAACAUAGUAUAGUUUUGUAGCUACUCAGAUUUGGGAUAGUUUGUCUUGUACCAGUAGGUAACUGGCAUAGCCACCUGAGAGCCUCUCUGCUGGAUCUUACCAAAUUGUAUCUUCAGGUGCCUUCUGAGAAUUUCAGAUCUUUAUUCCCACAGAUACCAUUCUUUCCUGUACUAUCAUUAUGUUCCAUUGCCCAACUGAUUUCAGCCUUUAAUCUCUUAUUCAAUUCAUCCUGCACUCAUCUGAAAGAAUAUUUGCUUAUUUAUAUAUUUAUUUUUUACAGCUCCCUGAGAGUAGUCUUGAACUUACAAUCCUCUUGCCUCAGCCUCCUGAAGUGCUGGGAUUACAGCCAUGUGCUACCAUGCCUGGCUUAAAUUUUCUUAAAACAGUUUUUUUCUUUUAGUCUUUGUUUCUUUCCAAUUCAGUACCCUGAAACAAUAAUUAUAAUUCUGUCUCCCUAAAUAUAAUUUUGAAUGUUUGCCCAUAGACUUUAUAUCAUAUAGUCUUAACAUUAUUGGCCUGUAUUUCCAGAAAUUAAGAAAUUCCAGAAUUUUUAUAUAACAAUUUUAAAUAUUUGAGAAAAAAUUUUACGUGUGAAAGACCCAAGUGUUUUGCAUACAUAUUUUAAUUUGCUGCCUUUGUGCAAAUAACUGAUGUAUUGUUAUUUGGUAUAGAGAUUCAUCAAUUUUUUUUUUGGUUGAGGGUACAAGGGAUUGAACCCAGGGGUGCUUUGCCACUGAGCAACCCUAUUUUAUUUUGAGACAGUUUUGCCAAGUUACCAGGGCAGGCCUCAAACUUGGGUUCCUCCUUCUUUAGCCUCCUGAGUUGCUAGGAUUUCAGGUAUGCACUAUUAUGACCAGUUGAGUUUCAUCAAAUCUUAAUCCUCAUCUUGCAGAAUUAUUGGAAACCUUGUGUGCUGUAUUGGUGCCAGAUAUGUCAUUUAUAGAUUACUCCUUCACAAGGCUGCAAACCACUUCAUAUGCCCAAAUCAUUUCCUUUCUGGAAAGGAUACAUUAUGUCAGCAUGGUUACCAUGUGUGGUAAUUGAUAAUGUCUGUGCCACAUGGCUUACUUCUACCCUUGUCCAACACAACUCUUCUACCACCUAUGAUUACCAUAUGGUAUCGCACUCUAGGUUAAUGGAAUCAUUUCCAUCUUCCCUUCUAGUCACAAAUGUCAUUAUGGCUCAAUUCCAUCAGCUCAACUAAGAAUAAAGUAUUCAUUACUAUCUAAGCAUGGAAAACACCUUUGUGAACAGUUUUCACAUUUAGUUGCCUGUUAAAUUUUUAUUUAAAAAAGCAGCUGGGUUUUUGUUUUCAUUUGCUCUAGUCAUCUGCUGACUAGAAUAGGGAGAUGAUCAAUAUCAUUCUGAAUGCUUACAUAUAU